rnacentral:rRNA from 1 species
AUUGAACGCUGGCGGCAGGCCUAACACAUGCAAGUCGAACGAGUGGCGGACGGGUGAGUAAUGUCUGGGAAACUGCCCGAUGGAGGGGGAUAACUACUGGAAACGGUCGCUAAUACCGCAUACCAUCGGAUGUGCCCAUAUGGGAUUAGCUAGUAGGUGGGGUAACGGCUCACCUGGGCGCCGCUCCCUAGCUGGUCUGAGAGGAUGACCAGCAACACUGGAACGAGGACACGGUCCAGACUCCUACGGGAGGCAGCAGUGGGGAAUAUUGCACAAUGGGCGCAAGCCUGAUGCAGCCAUGCCGCGUGUAUGAAGAAGGCCUUCGGGUUGGAAAGUACUUUCAGCGGGGAGGCGUUACCCGCAGAAGAAGCACCGGCUAACUCCGUGCCAGCAGCCGCGGUAAUAC